AUUGAACGCUGGCGGCAUGCCUAACACAUGCAAGUCGAACGGCAGCACGGGUCGGGUAACCGACUGGGUGGCGAGUGGCGAACGGGUGAGUAACGCGUGGGGAUAUACCCUGAAGAUGGGGAUAACUUGGGGAAACUCAAGCUAAUACCGAAUAAGCUCUUAGGAGGAAAGCUGGGGACCGCAAGGCCUGGCGCUUUAGGAAUAACCUGCGUCCGAUUAGCUAGUUGGUGGGGUAAAGGCCUACCAAGGCGACGAUCGGUAGCUGGUCUGAGAGGACGAACAGCCACACUGGGACUGAGACACGGCCCAGACUCCUACGGGAGGCAGCAGUGGGGAAUAUUGGACAAUGGGGGCAACCCUGAUCCAGCAAUGCCGCGUGUGUGAAGAAGGCCUGAGGGUUGUAAAAGCACUUUUGUUAGGGAGGAGGGUUUAUUGGUUAAGAGCUGAUGAACUGGACGUUACCUAAAGAAAAAAGCAACCGGCUAAACUCCGUGCCAGCAGCCGCGGU
rnacentral:rRNA from 1 species